CAGCCGCCACGGGAAUACGAAGGGGGCUAGCGUUGUUCGGAAUUACUGGGCGUAAAGCGCACGUAGGCGGAUCGUUAAGUUGGGGGUGAAAGCCCGGGGCUCAACCUCGGAACUGCCUUCAAUACUGGCGAUCUUGAGUAUGAGAGAGGUGAGUGGAACUCCGAGUGUAGAGGUGAAAUUCGUAGAUAUUCGGAAGAACACCAGUGGCGAAGGCGAUUCACUGGCUCAUUACUGACGCUGAGGCUCGAAAGCGUGGGGAGCAAACAGGAUUAGAUACCCGGGUAGUCCCUGUCUCUUAUAC
rnacentral:rRNA from 1 species